AGCUCUGCUGGAGAGACCUGAGGCUUGCAGCGCUGGGCCCGGCCGGGUCGCUGCGGCUGGGCUGGAGGUGAGGCGAAAGAAGGGCAUCCUCUGAUGGGAGUGGACCGGAGUCCGCUAAAGCGAAGCAUUCCAGGGUCAAGGAUGCAUUCCAGGAAAGUUCUAUAAAAAUAUACCAUCAACUCCAACCUGAUAUUUGACCUAGCCAUGGAAAACCUCAUUGGCUCCUCACUGGAUCAGACCAUAAAAAUGAUCCAGGAAUGAAAAUCUAAGAUAAAUUCCCACCACUUCAAGAUGUUCUUAUACAAGUCAACAGUCUAGCAGAUCAGCCAGUCUCUUUCAUCAUCAAGCAGACAUACUCAAGAAAGAGGAAUAGUGAAGUGAAAUAUACAGAAGCAUGUUCAAGUUCAUCUGUUGAAUCUGGAAUUGUGAAUAGUGACAAUAUUGAGAAAAAUACUGACUCCAAUCUGCAAACUUCAACUUCAUUUGAGCCACAUUUCAAAAAGAAAAAAAAGAAAAAUUUGAAACAUUAAGGGAAAACAGUUGGGUAAAAGAUCCAUUUGCUUUUCGACACCCUGAAU
rnacentral:lncRNA from 10 species